AGUAUACAAUUAUAUAAAUAUACAAUUUCUAUUUCAAAAAAUAAAAGUAUAACUUACAACGUCUAAAUAAUGAAUGUUCUAUAAUAGCUGUUUGAAUUAAAAAUAUUAUUAUUAUUUAAAAUUUAUAUUCAGUAUUCACAUGAGAUGGCUCAAUAGCAGAUGUCUGAAACAAAUAUGGACAGUUAUAUUAAAGAAAUGUAUGAAGAUGAACCUGUAUUAACGCAGAGAGAGAUUAUCCAACAAAUGUAUACAGAAAUUCCUGAUGAAGUAAAUCAUGACAUUAGCGUCGAAGAAGAUAAAGACAGAACAUGGUCAGUAGAAUCUACCAAGUUGCUUAUAACAUUGCUUGACUCAUAUAGUACUCAAUUUUUAUCAGCCAAAAAAAAGGGUAAAAAAUCUAAACUCUGGGAGCUAAUUUCAAAUGAAAUGGCUAAAAGCCAUUCGUUUUCGCCUAAAGUUUGUGAUGAGAAAUGGCGUAGACUAUGCACUCAACAUUGAAAAUAUUAUGAUUUAUCAAAAAAAUCAGGCAACAAUGCAAUUAAAUGGCAGUAUUAUAAGUCAAUGGAUGAAGCAAUCAUACCUUUAGGAAAAAAACAAUCCCUUUCUCCUCCCAAAGAAUUACUGAAUGAGUCAUCUCAGCCAUCUUACAGUGAGCCUUGUAGUUCUAAUUCUACAUCCACAACAAUGACAUCAAAUAUUCUAAAUCCACCUUCACUUACAAUUCCAACACCAUCACAAAUAACAAUAUCACCAACGUUGACACCAAAUUAUUCUUGCUCUACAUUUAAAGCCAAGACACCAUCAUGGUUCGAAAAAUAUGAAAAUAUGAAAAAAAGAUCAAAUCAGUACACAAAGUAUUGAACUGAACAAAAGACUUGAUAAAUUGGAGAAAAGAGAACAUGAAAUGUUAGAAGUACAAAAACAACUAGUUGAAAAAUUGAACACAGCCAAUGACAUUGAAAUUCAAAAGUUGGACAUGUUUAAAAAAAUGUUUAAGAUUGAUUGAUGAAAUAGUAAUUCAAAAUAAUAUACCUAUGCUCUGUUGUAUUUUUAAUUGUAAUAAAGUAACUAACUAUGUUUAACACACAAUUAUAAAUUAUUU